rnacentral:rRNA from 1 species
UGGGGAAUCUUCCGCAAUGGACGAAAGUCUGACGGAGCAACGCCGCGUGAGUGAAGAAGGUUUUCGGAUCGUAAAACUCUGUCUUUUGGGGCGAACGUGAGUAUGGUGAACAAUCAUAGUCAGUGACGGUACCAAAGGAGGAAGCCACGGCUAACUACGUGCCAGCAGCCGCGGUAAUACGUAGGUGGCAAGCGUUGUCCGGAAUUAUUGGGCGUAAAGAGCGCGUAGGCGGGAUAGUCAGUCUGUUGUAAAGUGCGGGGCUCAACCCCGUGAUGGCAAUGGAACAGUUAUUCUUGAGUGCAGGAGAGGAAAGUGGAAUUCCCAGUGUAGCGGUGAAAUGCGUAGAUAUUGGGAGGAACACCAGUGGCGAAGGCGACUUUCUGGACUGUGUCUGACGCUGAGGCGCGAAAGCCAGGGGAGCGAACGGGAUUUAGAUACCCCGGUAGUCCUGGCCGUAAACGAUGGGUACUAGUGUGGGGAGGUAUCGACCCCCUUCCGUGCCGGAGUUAAGCAAUAAGUACCCCGCCUGGGGAGUACGUCGCAAGNCUGAAAACUCAAUGAAUUGACGGGGUCUAGCUGUUUCCUG